rnacentral:rRNA from 1 species
CAGGCUUAACACAUGCAAGUCGAGGGGCAGCAUGGUCUUAGCUUGCUAAGGCCGAUGGCGACCGGCGCACGGGUGAGUAACACGUAUCCAACCUGCCGUCUACUCUUGGACAGCCUUCUGAAAGGAAGAUUAAUACAAGAUGGCAUCAUGAGUCCGCAUGUUCACAUGAUUAAAGGUAUUCCGGUAGACGAUGGGGAUGCGUUCCAUUAGAUAGUAGGCGGGGUAACGGCCCACCUAGUCUUCGAUGGAUAGGGGUUCUGAGAGGAAGGUCCCCCACAUUGGAACUGAGACACGGUCCAAACUCCUACGGGAGGCAGCAGUGAGGAAUAUUGGUCAAUGGGCGAGAGCCUGAACCAGCCAAGUAGCGUGAAGGAUGACUGCCCUAUGGGUUGUAAACUUCUUUUAUAAAGGAAUAAAGUCGGGUAUGCAUACCCGUUUGCAUGUACUUUAUGAAUAAGGAUCGGCUAACUCCGUGCCAGCAGCCGCGGUAAUACGGAGGAUCCGAGCGUUAUCCGGAUUUAUUGGGUUUAAAGGGAGCGUAGAUGGAUGUUUAAGUCAGUUGUGAAAGUUUGCGGCUCAACCGUAAAAUUGCAGUUGAUACUGGAUAUCUUGAGUGCAGUUGAGGCAGGCGGAAUUCGUGGUGUAGCGGUGAAAUGCUUAGAUAUCACGAAGAACUCCGAUUGCGAAGGCAGCCUGCUAAGCUGCAACUGACAUUGAGGCUCGAAAGUGUGGGUAUCAAACAGGAUUAGAUACCCUGGUAGUCCACACGGUAAACGAUGAAUACUCGCUGUUUGCGAUAUACGGCAAGCGGCCAAGCGAAAGCGUUAAGUAUUCCACCUGGGGAGUACGCCGGCAACGGUGAAACUCAAAGGAAUUGACGGGGGCCCGCACAAGCGGAGGAACAUGUGGUUUAAUUCGAUGAUACGCGAGGAACCUUACCCGGGCUUAAAUUGCAGAUGAAUUACGGUGAAAGCCGUAAGCCGCAAGGCAUCUGUGAAGGUGCUGCAUGGUUGUCGUCAGCUCGUGCCGUGAGGUGUCGGCUUAAGUGCCAUAACGAGCGCAACCCUUGUUGUCAGUUACUAACAGGUUCCGCUGAGGACUCUGACAAGACUGCCAUCGUAAGAUGUGAGGAAGGUGGGGAUGACGUCAAAUCAGCACGGCCCUUACGUCCGGGGCUACACACGUGUUACAAUGGGGGGUACAGAGGGCCGCUACCACGCGAGUGGAUGCCAAUCCCAAAAACCUCUCUCAGUUCGGACUGGAGUCUGCAACCCGACUCCACGAAGCUGGAUUCGCUAGUAAUCGCGCAUCAGCCACGGCGCGGUGAAUACGUUCCCGGGCCUUGUACACACCGCCCGUCAAGCCAUGGGAGCCGGGGGUACCUGAAGUGCGUAACCGCGAGGAGCGCCCUAGGGUAAAACUGGUGACUGGGGCUAAG